ACGAACGCUGGCGGCGUGCUUAACACAUGCAAGUCGAACGGAAAGGCCCUGCUUUUGUGAGGUGCUCGAGUGGCGAACGGGUGAGUAACACGUGAGUAACCUGCCCUUGACUUUGGGAUAACUUCAGGAAACUGGGGCUAAUACCGGAUAGGAGCUCCUGCUGCAUGGUGGGGGUUGGAAAGUUUCGGCGGUUGGGGAUGGACUCGCGGCUUAUCAGCCUGUUGGUGGGGUAGUGGCUUACCAAGGCUUUGACGGGUAGCCGGCCUGAGAGGGUGACCGGCCACAUUGGGACUGAGAUACGGCCCAGACUCCUACGGGAGGCAGCAGUGGGGAAUAUUGCACAAUGGGCGGAAGCCUGAUGCAGCAACGCCGCGUGCGGGAUGACGGCCUUCGGGUUGUAAACCGCUUUCGCCUGUGACGAAGCGUGAGUGACGGUAAUGGGUAAAGAAGCACCGGCUAACUACGUG
rnacentral:rRNA from 1 species